rnacentral:rRNA from 1 species
CUGGUGACCAUAGCGGAGGGGUUCCACCCGUUCCCAUCCCGAACACGGAAGUUAAGCCCUCCAGCGCCGAUGGUACU